UACAGAGGUCUCAAGCGUUGUUCGGAUUCAUUGGGCGUAAAGGGUGCGUAGGUGGCGUGGUAAGUCGGGUGUGAAAUUUCGGAGCUUAACUCCGAAACUGCAUUCGACACUGCCGUGCUUGAGGACUGGAGAGGAGACUGGAAUUUACGGUGUAGCAGUGAAAUGCGUAGAGAUCGUAAGGAAGACCAGUGGCGAAGGCGGGUCUCUGGACAGUUCCUGACACUGAGGCACGAAGGCCAGGGGAGCAAACGGG
rnacentral:rRNA from 1 species